rnacentral:rRNA from 1 species
GAUGAACGCUGGCGGCGUGCCUAAUACAUGCAAGUCGAGCGAACGGACGAGAAGCUUGCUUCUCUGAUGUUAGCGGCGGACGGGUGAGUAACACGUGGAUAACCUACCUAUAAGACUGGGAUAACUUCGGGAAACCGGAGCUAAUACCGGAUGAUAUUUUGAACCGCAUGGUUCAAAAGUGAAAGACGGUCUUGCUGCCACUUAUAGAUGGAUCCGCGCUGCAUUAGCUAGUUGGUAAGGUAACGGCUUACCAAGGCAACGAUGCAUAGCCGACCUGAGAGGGUGAUCGGCCACACUGGAACUGAGACACGGUCCAGACUCCUACGGGAGGCAGCAGUAGGGAAUCUUCCGCAAUGGGCGAAAGCCUGACGGAGCAACGCCGCGUGAGUGAUGAAGGUCUUCGGAUCGUAAAACUCUGUUAUUAGGGAAGAACAUAUGUGUAAGUAACUGUGCACAUCUUGACGGUACCUAAUCAGAAAGCCACGGCUAACUACGU